ACUGCUGGGUUUCACCGGCCUGGUUGCGGCGUUUCUGCUGCUGCCGGUGGUUUUCAUCGUGCUUUUGUCGUUCGGCUCGUCGCGGUGGUU
rnacentral:tRNA from 1 species